ACGCCCGCACCUCCGCUCGAAGAGGCCGCCGCCGACGCUGGACGUCCUUUUCAUGCUGGCGCUGUCCCGAGCUAAGUUAGACAUCCUCUCUCUCUUCUACUCUCCCUCUCUCUCUUCCUUCCUCUCCUCCUUCUUUCUCUCUCCUUUCUCCUCUCCCUCCACACCGCUGUCUGCCCUCUCGCAGUGUCCUUCCUCGCGGCGACCGAGCAGCAGCACGUGUGGUGUGACAUCAUCUCCGCGGGGACAUGUAGGGAGUGCGGGCGUCCAACGACACCUUCUUCUGCCCGUACCGGCACCCGAGGUACGCCGAGCUCGAGGCGCUGCCGGUCGCGGUACCAACGACUGGAGCUGACGCUGCGGCGCGGGGAACGGCGGAUGAGGGGGAUGCUGCCCAUGGCCGACGUGCAGUAGUUGGAACUGGGGAGCAGCCACUGGAGGCCACCCACCGACCUCCCGUGGAGCGAGCAACUCUUCAUGUGGUAUAGCCUGCUACGUAUGCUGCUCGAGCCGUGUUUGUAGGCCUUCAAGUUUCUCUUCUACCACAGCUUUUUGGGACAUAGCCUACUAUUCGUUAGUCUGUUAGUCUACCUCCUUAACACACGAUUGUAGUUCCUGUCAAGUAAACGAAAUGUGUACAAAUAGUCUAACUCAAAAAGGUAUACUUCACCCUAUAACGGUUGAUCGGACGACUACAAUCGUUCUAAAUUAUCAAAUCGAACAAUUCAUAACUACUACAUCGUGGCGACCAGCUCGAUGACAAAGGGGAUAUAAAUCGCAGACCAUACCGUUGGAACGACCUAUAUUAUAUCAUCGACCAUUAAGAUGGAAUUUAAACACAACAAACGGCCGAUCGUAUAACCGACGCCAUUAAAGAUGGAUAUCUUUAUUGGGACUAAUCAUACAUACUUGGACACUGAUUUACCCGAACUCUUUGACGAUGGUAACCGACCCAUAAUUUUAUAAUAAAAGUGUCACGUAAGACAAUUGAAACUUCCUUAUACACCUGUAGGAAUGUUACUUUUAUUCUUUAAUCAACACACACAAGGAACUAAAAACGGUUGACCUCGUAGUCAAACCUCACAACGUCACAUAUAAAGGAAGAUAGUCACUGGACCAAACUGAUCGUCAAAAAACCUAUCUCGUGUCACCGUUAAGAACAGCAUUUUAAUACUGAUAACUCGUCUCACAUUAACUGAUUCAAAUACUCCUUGUGCCUCAACACGUUUCUUUUAACCACUGAAUAAUUGACCCAUAAGACGAAAGUCUCCGUACACUACAUGAAGAAGACAUUGAAUUAUUCUACAAAAAACUGUGUCAUCCUAGGAGAACUAAAGAAGGAGGGAUUUAAUUAAAAAUAAAACGUGGAUCCCAAACCCUAGUCUAAGAACGCUCCUGUCGUUGUCGUCGGCCGGUCGCAAACAUAAGCGUCUCAAGUACUUGCGCGAAGAAGACAUUGAAUUAUUCUACAAAAAACUGUGACAUAAGCGUCUCAAGUACUUGCGACGUCACCCCAAAGGUCGCGUCGCUGUUGUACUGCUGAUUCAAGUUGUCGGAGUAUAGUGUGACGUAGUCUUCAAUCGGCGCAUUAUACCAGCGGCCUACCUUCAUGUUCAAGCGUGAAUGUUUUCAUUUCAUGUAAAAAUCGCGGUGACAACAAAGAACGAAGUGAUACAACAAGGUCCGCCAAGAACUACCUGUUCGGGCUCGGAGGAGGUCUUUCCAACAGAAGGACUGAGGUGGGUUCUAACCAAACUCACUGUUCCUGUAACUAUGAGAAAGACCACCAGUGUGGGACCACACGUACAGAAUACAAACCGCGGUUCAAGCAUGCGAAUGAUGGCGAUCUUUCUUACGAGUGUUUCGAAGGUCUUAUUACGAUAUAAUACGACGCUCUUCGUGUUCAAGGAGAAAAUAGUACAGACAAUAGGUAAAGAAAACGAGCUCCUCGGUUGGCACGACUGUUUUACCAUCUUCUAAUUUGUUCAUUAGAUAUAAUCAGCUUAACUCCCAUACGACCUACACUAUACAUUACUUCUACCAGUAAUAACGGGCAAGUCUCAUGUGUACACCAUCGGGGACUCCAGAGGAGGAACGAGCCGAACUCUCAUGUGUUCACCAAAGGGGACUCCAUAGGAAGAACGAGCCGAACAAGUAAUUCAUUCUAAAACUAACAGAGUUAAACAGCGAAGUCAAGGUGUUUUUUGUACUUAACAACACACAUUAACAAAUUAAGCUUGUACAAGUUCUACUACAAAAAUCAUGAGAGUUCCCCUUUGAAACAUAAAAGUUGGAUCGAUAAAAGAGUUCGGAAGACGGACGAGAACGACCCAAUAACUUUUCGUUUUGACUUUCCAUCAUAUGGAAUAUCGUUGUGCCUACGUGUACAUCGGUACGUACGGGUUCUCCUACGGUUACGUAUGAUAUAUAAGAACGUUUACAUAUUAUAACUUUAUCUUAUAGUAGAAUACAAAAGGUCUGGGUAUAUGAAUGGGACGUUAUACACUUACUUACGAGUAUAACCGUAGGAUGAUAUCUUUUAUAUAUCAAUCGUUGUUGAUAGAAUAUUUGUAUAAAUCUGGACAAUAAUUAAGUUGUAACAGUCGAUCGAGUGGGUAACCUCAUCUAGAAGUUCGUCGACACACAACGAUUCUCUCUACGACAUUUUUGAAAACGAUGUUCGGAUGUUCCUUGAGCCACGCUCCACCGUUCAGCCGGUGUUUGAAUACAAAACGGCUUUAUCACAACGGGACUAUGCUUGACGUAUUAAUGACGUAAGUAGUUAUCGUAUAAAUGAGAUGAUCUUGGAUUACGAGUAUAGGGCAAUUCAAUUACUCAUAUUUAGUUGAUCCAAAAUCACACGACACUUAAAAAGCUUCUACCUAUAAUAUACCUACCACACCAACUCAAACGAACCAAUGACCUUACGGUACGUACACGUAUAGCCACCCACUUUCCAACACUCUGGUAGUUCUACCUAAGCGAUAACGGUAAUAAAGUCAAACAUCGAAAACCCAUCUCCUAAACUAAGGUCGUUCUGUCUCUGCUACUGAUACGGUUGACUCCAAGUACAAUUCCUCAUAAUCGUCUACGAGUGUCCUAGUGAGCUUCGUGUAUUUCCAUAGGUGUUCCUACCAACGAAAGAAUAGCUGAGUAUUAACUUAAUCAAUAUCUGUCAUUCUCAUCAUCAGAUGUAAAAAAAACUUUUGUAUCACAUGGAAACACUAGCGUCGACAUACGUUACUAGGUAGUACAUAAAAAAAUUUUGACGUUGAGUAUUAACAAACUACACGACUUUACAGAUACAAUAAAAAAUGUAAGAAACUAACCCUCCAUUGAACGUGAUGAUACUUGUAGAGUAAGCACCACACUGACAUCGUGUAAAACGUAGUCUUUUGUUGAUAAAAGAACUAAAUGUACAUACAGUAACGAAUUGUGUCCGUAUUAUCUUUUUGAACCAGAUUCAAAUAGGUGUUCCUCCCUCCGUCUCGUCUCUGUUUGCUGUGUAAGGCAGUACGUACACACACCUAAACAUAGCAGGAUGAUGACAGAGCGAAACAAAAUGUCAUUAUUUAUUUCUCUACUUAGUCUAAAAGAAACCAGGCAAUCGUUUUAAAAUGUGUAGUUCAUAAAAUAGAGUCUAGAACAUAAAACCAAACCAUAUACUCGAAAACCGGGUAUCUGAUUGUACAGG
rnacentral:rRNA from 1 species